rnacentral:snRNA from 1 species
GUGCUUGCUUUGGCAGCACGUAUAUUAAAAUUGGAAUGAUAUAGAGAUUAGCAUGGCCCCCUAUGCAAGGCAGACAAGCAAAUUCAUGAAGCAUUCCAUGUUUUU